rnacentral:rRNA from 1 species
AUGGCUCGUGAUAUUCUUGCUAUCCCCAUUACAACGGUGGCUUCUGAGUCAGCCUUUAGCACAAGUGGACGCAUACUUGAUGACUUUAGGACAUCUCUAACUCCAUUUAUGGUACAAGCUUUAGUUUGUACGCAAGACUGGCUGAGAAGGUCAACAAAUCCUGUCGACAUCAAGGAGAACUUGGAAGAAUUAGAAGAGCUAGAAAAAGAGUUGAUUGAAGAAUUUGGUGACAAGGUGAAGUGA